rnacentral:rRNA from 1 species
CACGUAGUUAGCCGGGGCUUUCUUCUCAGGUACCGUCACUCCCCUAGCAGUUACUCUAGAGGACGUUCUUCCCUGGCAACAGAGCUUUACGAUCCGAAAACCUUCUUCACUCACGCGGCGUUGCUCCCGUCAGACUUUCGUCCAUUGCGGAAGAUUCCCUACUGCUGCCUCCCGUAGGAGUCUGGGCCGUGUCUCAGUCCCAGUGUGGCCGUUCACCCUCUCAGGUCGGCUACGCAUCGUCGCCUUGGUGAGCCGUUACCCCACCAACUAGCUAAUGCGCCGCAGGCCCAUCCGUAAGUGACAGAUUGCUCCGCCUUUCCCAAAUCCCCCAUGCGAGGAAUUUGCGUAUCCGGUAUUAGCUACCGUUUCCGGUAGUUAUCCCAGUCUUACGGGCAGGUUGCCUACGUGUUACUCACCCGUCCGCCGCUAACCAACAGGUUCCGAAGAACCUAUUAGUCCGCUCGACUUGCAUGUAUUAGGCACGCCGCCAGCGUCGUCCUCGUAGCCACGGAGUCAACGUAC